AUGUUUCGAUCAAAACAGUGUGUCUUCCUAGGGUACAGUGCUCAGCAUAAGGGCGUAAAGUGUCUAGAUGUCUCCACUGGUCGUGUUGACAUCUCACGUGACGUUGUAUUCGAUGAAACAAAAUUUCCGUUCGUUGACCUCCACCCUAAUGCUGGCGCACUACUUCGAAAAGAAGUCCUUCUUUUGCCUCCUCAUCUUACUAGUUUUGAUCAAGGGGGACAAAAUAUUGAUGAUCAAUUGUUGACUAACUCAUCUAAUGAUCUGCAUGAGCUUUGUGUUGAUGAAACAGGAGAAAAUCGUGAGAAAAAUGCUGCUGAAAAUAAUCUGGACAGGCCAUAUUUCAUGUGUUCCACUUGA
rnacentral:rRNA from 1 species